ensembl:lncRNA
GGGGAAGAAACCCAGGUCCUUGCACAUGCUAGCCAAGUGCUUUACCUCUGUGCUACAUCCCUCAGCCUUCAGGUUCUUUUUGAUAAGGCUGGCAGCAGAGCCAGGUAAGAAGUUAGAGCAGAUGAAGAAUUGCUGAAAAAGUUGAAACUACCAAUAAGCAAUAAGGAAAUGCCACAUCAUUUAGCUCCAGGCCAAGGCUUACAGGACUGAUAUUUUAUCUCAGGUACUCUGUUAGAUAUUAGUGAUAAUAAUGUGAGCUUUUCCUGCUUUUCAGUUGUUCGAGUGAAGACAAUUAGCCAUAGGACAAGCCAGCUUAUGAUAAGUACUGCAAUAAAAGAACAUGAAAAUUUUGUAUUUUAUUACAAGAAAAAAAGAGUCAAAGUGGAUGCGGCAGAGUGGAGGUCAUUAAGUCUACCAACAAGCAGAUGCCAACAUGGAAUUGAACUGAAAAAAAUUGAAUGAAACACCUGUAAGGGGAAAAUUGGAGGGAGCUGGAGGAAGCUGGGAAGGUUAUCAGACUGAUGCAGAUCUGACUUCUGUGAAGGUAUGUAUGCUGCUAUGGUCCAUGAAUGUUGGGCUUGCCAUAUAGCUUGCUUCAGCUAACUGAAUGCUAUCAGGAACUAUAGAAUAUCAGCACUGAAGGAAGCUUUCAUCUGAGAAGGAAAAUGAGGCUGAAGAGAUUUUCCUGAUGUCAGCGAUCAAACUCGGGACCUCCCUCUUUCGAGGCAGGUAGCGGAAUCACUGAGCUAAAUCCCUGACCCCUUUUCCUGCUCAUCGUAGAAGUCAACUGGCCUGGGAAAAGACUUUCACUAACAUCUGCCAAGAACCCUCGCUAAUAGAGACUGAUUACAGAAGUCAUUGUAGAAAACAUGAUAAAAGGAAAACAAGAAGUUUGGAAUUGGUUUUCUGUCCUGAUUCAACCUGAAUGUUCUGAAGUCCAGCUAACAUGAAAGGCUCUUGAGACAUGCAGUGAAACAGCCCUCUAAUUUUCAUCUGUGGUCACCUGGAAUGAAGUACUCAUAGAAGGUGUGUCUUUGAGGGAACCAGGGUCAUAGCCAAGGAACUGUAUGCAGAGGUAUAAGGAACUCAAGGAUUACAGAAAAAGUGUUUGCUUCUUAUGGCAUAUGGGAAUUUCAAGAAUUACGGUCUCAAAGUCUAAAAUUCUUGAUAGAUAGAGGAGACCAUAGAAUUUUUCUUUGCUGAAACUAUUUUAUCAAUUGUAAUAUAGGGC